rnacentral:rRNA from 1 species
GGGCCCGCACAAGCGGUGGAUUAUGUGGUUUAAUUCGAUGAUACGCGAGGAACCUUACCAAGGCUUAAAUGGGAAUUGACAGAUUUAGAAAUAGAUCCUCCUUCGGGCAAUUUUCAAGGUGCUGCAUGGUUGUCGUCAGCUCGUGCCGUGAGGUGUUAGGUUAAGUCCUGCAACGAGCGCAACCCCUGUCACUAGUUGCUACCAUUAAGUUGAGGACUCUAGUGAGACUGCCUACGCAAGUAGAGAGGAAGGUGGGGAUGACGUCAAAUCAUCACGGCCCUUACGCCUUGGGCCACACACGUAAUACAAUGGCCGGUACAGAGGGCAGCUACACAGCGAUGUGAUGCAAAUCUCGAAAGCCGGUCUCAGUUCGGAUUGGAGUCUGCAACUCGACUCUAUGAAGCUGGAAUCGCUAGUAAUCGCGCAUCAGCCAUGGCGCGGUGAAUACGUUCCCGGGCCUU